GCCCGGAUGGCGGAACAGGCAGACGCAGCGGACUUAAAAUCCGCCGCCCCGUCUCGGGGCGUACCGGUUCGACCCCGGUUCCGGGCACCA
rnacentral:tRNA from 2 species